rnacentral:rRNA from 1 species
GACGAACGCUGGCGGCGUGCUUAACACAUGCAAGUCGAACGGAAAGGCCCAGCUUGCUGGGUACUCGAGUGGCGAACGGGUGAGUAACACGUGGGUGAUCUGCCCUGCACUCUGGGAUAAGCCUGGGAAACUGGGUCUAAUACCGGAUAUGACCGACUGUCGCAUGGUGGUUGGUGGAAAGCUUUUGCGGUGUGGGAUGGGCCCGCGGCCUAUCAGCUUGUUGGUGGGGUAAUGGCCUACCAAGGCGACGACGGGUAGCCGACCUGAGGGGGUGAUCGGCCACACUGGGACUGAGACACGGCCCAGACUCCUACGGGAGGCAGCAGUGGGGAAUAUUGCACAAUGGGCGCAAGCCUGAUGCAGCGACGCCGCGUGAGGGAUGACGGCCUUCGGGUUGUAAACCUCUUUCACCAGGGACGAAGCGUGAGUGACGGUACCUGGAGAAGAAGCACCGGCCAACUACGUG